rnacentral:rRNA from 1 species
CGGGGAUGCGAGCGUUAUCCGGAAUUAUUGGGUUUAAAGGGUGCGUAGGCUGUCAUGUAAGUCAGUGGUGAAAUACCUUCGCUCAACGAGGGGCUGCCAUUGAUACUGUGUGACUGGAGUUGAAGCGCCGUGGGAGGAAUGAGUAGUGUAGCGGUGAAAUGCAUAGAUAUUACUCAGAACACCGAUUGCGAAGGCAUCUCACGAGAAUCAAACUGACGCUGAUGCACGAAAGCGUGGUUAUCAAACAGGAUU